AACGAACGCUGGCGGCAGGCCUAACACAUGCAAGUCGAGCGCGCCUUCGGGUGAGCGGCGGACGGGUUAGUAACGCGUGGGAACGUGCCCUUCUCUACGGAAUAGCCUCUGGAAACGGAGAGUAAUACCGUAUACGCCCUUUGGGGGAAAGAUUUAUCGGAGAAGGAUCGGCCCGCGUUAGAUUAGGUAGUUGGUGGGGUAACGGCCUACCAAGCCUACGAUCUAUAGCUGGUUUUAGAGGAUGAUCAGCAACACUGGGACUGAGACACGGCCCAGACUCCUACGGGAGGCAGCAGUGGGGAAUCUUAGACGAUGGGGGCAACCCUGAUCUAGCCUAUGCCGCGUGAGUGAUGAAGGCCUCUGGGCUGUAAACCUCUUUUAUCAAGGAAGAAGAUCUGACGGUACUUGAUGAAUAAGCCACGGCUAAUUCCGUG
rnacentral:rRNA from 1 species